GGAGAGAGCAUUGAAUUUGAUACAAACACACAAGCUGUGAACAGUCUCAGAUUCACAAUUGCACUUACACUCCUUCAACAGACUGAUGACCUCACCGAUGUUUGCCAUCACUGUGGGGAAGAGGAACACGAGACAAAUGUGGACUGGAUACAGUGUGAUGAUUGUCUCCGAUGGUUCCACCAGGAGUGUGUGGGAAACCCACCAGUGGACGAGGCUUUUCACUGUCCCACUUGCGUUUCUAAAUAAAAAAAACAGCCUUGAAAAGACAUUGUUAUAGGUUGUGAAUGGAGAUUUUGCAUGAAAAACAGUGUAUUUGUGCUGACAUUAAAGUGUACAUAGACCAACUUAAAUGAUGAUUAGAUUGUUUACUGCAGAUAUCAGGAAUGAUCCACAGAGCAAAUAGACAAAAUCUUGUGCUGAUUAUAUUUACCACAUGUCAUAUAGGCAGGGGGUACAG